UCUUCAUGGGACCCCUAAUCCUAGCAGUCGGACGGGAUCGCCACUCGGUGCAAGCGGCGGCGAGUGGGAGCAUACCUUCUGCUUCUUUAUCGCGAAGCAGCCGCGACUGGGAAGGUAACGACAGGAUUGUAGCUCGCUGGGAAGGCAAUAGACGGGACCGAAAUUCUCUGGGAAGGCAACGGCGAGAUCAUGGCUCGCUGGGAAAGCAACAGACGGGAUCGCAGUUCUCUGGGAAGGUAACGAUGCGAUCGCUGCUCACUGGGAAGGAACAAAGGAGGUCGCGUCAGGGUUUUGACGCAAGAAGGUGUGGAUUGCGGCUUCAGCACAGAGAGGAGCAAGUCGUUGCGGGGUAGGGUAGCGACUCUGGCGUGCAAGAUAGGGCAGAGCGGAGGAAGAGGAAGGAGUGUGGCACUGCUUUGGAACAUUGGCUAGGAAAGAGCGGUAGAGAGACGAAGGAAGAGGAAGAUAGGUAUUUUGAAGGUCUUUGUGUGUUGAGAUUCAAUCGUUGCCUUCCUCACUAGUCAAGACAAAGGCCGAUGAAUCGAGAUUAGACUCGUACGGCGCAGGAAAGAGACGCAGACAAAGGAAAGGGCUUCGGUGUAGAUUGUAGGGAGGAACGCGAUGUGAGGCAGGGAGGAGCGGCGGGUGUUCACGAACAGAAGAGGCGUGAAUAGUGCUUGCUUGAAAAGAGAAGCUAGAGUGACUUUGCUACUGUGACACAACAGGGGAUUUUAGAUAUUUUGUAUGUCGUGACCCUGUCUUUUUGCUAAACAAAAGAAGUAGCGGUGAAAGAGAGAAAUUUGGUUCUACAUGCAUUAGAGACUGAGGAAGAUUGAGGAAUAGUUAUAUUGAUUAUAAAAGAGGAGAGUCGCAUAAGUCUAUACUCUGAGUUGAGUGGACUUCCAGGUACACGAUUGGCUUUGGUUGUAUUGAGAUGCCCAAGGUUGUCCCGCAGGUGCUACAACUGUGGAGAAGUGAGACACUUGAGCAUGACUUGUCCAAAACCACCCAAGGAGAGAGAGAAGGUUGGACGUGAAUAAUAAAGAGGCGAUCGUAAUCGUGGGGGCCCAAGGGUGUAAGAGGAGGUUACAGGGAAAAUUUGAUUGUAGCAAAGAACAAGGGAAAAAUAAGGGUAGUCUUUACCGAAGAGUAUCACAAGUUACUGAAGAUGUUGAAGAGGAAACAAGGAGUGACAGGUGAUCUUUCAAGAGAAGGGGAUUGGCUGGAGACUUGGGGUUGACACGUGAAAUAGUGGACUCUGGUAUUUGGAUAGAGAGGGGAUAGACUCGACCUUGGCAUCUAUGGUUGAGAAUGCUGGGGUAGGAGGAUCUGAGAACAACGUGGAGGAUAUUUUGUUGCUAGAUCAUAGCGCAUGUGCAUUCUUCGUUUAGUCUACUGAGUCGUUUGUAUUCAUCAUUGUAUGAAAAAACAAAUAAAAAAAAAGUUGUGUGAUGCUUGUGAGUUUAGUAAGCAUACCAGGAGCUCUUUUAUUAGUUUUAGUAAAAAGAGUUAUUGUGUUUUUGAUUUGGUGCACUCAGAUGUAUGUGGUCCUUGUUCUACAACUUUUAUAAAUAGUUACAGAUAUUUUGUGACUUUCGUUGAUUAUUUUUCUCAUGUUACUUGAUUAUAUCUGAUGAGAAAGAAGUGUUGUUUGCCUGCUUUAAUGACUUUCACAGGCGAUCUAAACUUAAUACGACACAAUAGUGAAGGUAUUGAGGUAUGAUAAUGAAAUAAAAUAUAUCAGCAUAGCGUUUGGGGAAGACUUGUCAGCCCCAUGGAUGCAACAUCAAACCACAUGUUCAUACAUACUAACACAAAACAGAGACGCAAAGAAAAAGAAUAGGAGAAGAAGAAUAGACACUUUCUGGAGGUAACUCGAACCAUGAUGAUCAUGAUGAAUAUCCCAAAGCUCUUAACGGGGGCAAACAAUUUUGACAAUGACUCAAUUGAUCAGUAGAAUGACAUUGAGAGUUUUGGAUUGGGAGAGUUCUUGUCAGAUGUUGAAAGGAGACAAUAGUUGAAUACUCGCAUUGAAGGUUUUUGGUUGUAUAUAUUUUGUGAAAAACAACAAAACAUCGGUGGGAAAAAUAUAUCCUAGAGCUGUGAGGUGUGUUUUCGUGGGUUAUUCUGCUACCUAUAAGGGGUAUGUUUUGUUGGAGUCUGAUAGAGAAGAGACUGUUUAUGAGCAUGGUUAUGUCCUUUGGAGAAGUUAAACCUUACUAAACCCUGGAAAUGACCUCACAUUUUGGUGAUUCAUCAGAUAAUGAAGGUAUGAGGCGUGAGGGGGAGAGUAGUGAUAGUCAAAUAUUGGUGUAUGUGGGAACCACACCUUCUCCCAUUUUGUGGGAAGGAUCAACCAAGGAAGAGCCGAAAAAGGAGAAAAAUGAACCUGAAGAUGGAGAGAUUCAAACUCAAAGGGAGCUGAGAGUGUAUACAAGGAUGAGGAGGUAGGAUGAGGGAAUAGUGUCUACCAUGCCACUCAUGUCAUGAAGUCUUUUGUCCCAAUCUACCCCUACUCUUGAGAAACUUACACCUUCCACUUCAGAAUCUAAUUACCUAGGUGACAUGAUUACUCUCCCUUCUCCUCCACUCUCAUGGCUUUAAGGAGGAUCUCUCCCAACAAUACAGGUCAUUCUCCUGAUGUUUUUUUUCUUGUUUGUUUUGGUUUCUCACAUGACAUUCCUUAGUUUGUCUCAUACUCUAACAUAUCAUCUGUACACAGAGCAUUCAUUGCAUCCUUAGAUACUGUCUUUACACCCCAAGUGUUGUCAGGUAACUAAGGAAAACCUAAAGUGGAAGACUGUCAUUCUGGAGAAACUUGUUGCUCUCGAUAAGAACGGGACGCAGGAGAUAGUACCAUUAUCAACGGGGAAAAGAGCAGUUAGGUGCAAGUGGAUUUUCACAAUAAAACAAAAUCCAGAAAGAAAGUGGAGUGUUAGGCACAGUUAGUGGCGAAGGGUAAAGCCAAAUAUAUGACAUUAACUAUGACGAGCUUUUUGCACCUGCAGUGAAGAUGAGCAAAGUGAGACCACUGGUUUCUCUGAUUCCAACUUGAUGUGAAGAAUACUUUUCUUCACGGCGAGUUACUGGAGAAGGUGUUUAUGGACAUACCAUCAGGAUUCUGCAUAGGUCAGACAGUGGGCAAGGUGUGCGGGCUCAGAAAAUUGAUUUAUGGCUUGAAGCAGUUUCCUUGAGUCUGGUUUGACAAGUUUAAAUAAACUAUGGUGGGCAUGAAAUAUCAGCAGAUCAAUGUCGACCAUACGGUGUUCCUUUAUCAAAAUCGUGGUCACAUUACUAUGCAUGUUGUGUAUGUUGAUGACACAAUUAUCUCUGGUAAUGAUGAAAUAGAGGCUACGCAACUAAAGGUUGGAUUGGGCAAAAAAUUUGAGAUGAAGGACAUUGGACAACUCAGAUACUAUAUUGGGAUUGAGGUGGCUUAUGAACCAUAGGGGAUGACAUUAUCUCAGAGAAAUUAUGUACUAGAUCUUCUCACAAAAAUAUGCAUGCUGGGAUGCAAGCUUGCAGUCUCUCCAAUUGAUCAGAAGAUUAAGCUGAGUGCAGAGGCGAAAGAGUCAGUUGAUCGUGAGAGAUACCAGAGAUUGGUGGGUCAUCUGAUCUAUCUGAGUCACAUGUGUCAGGACAUCUCAUUUGCAGUGAGUGCAUUGAGCUGCUAUAUGCAUGAUCCAAGGGUCAUAUGAACGCAGUGUAUCAGAUUUUGAGGUACUU